rnacentral:rRNA from 1 species
UUUUUGUUUUUUGUUUAGGAAUCUGCCUGGUAGUGGGGGAUAACGUUCGGAAACGGACGCUAAUACCGCAUACGUCCUACGGGAGAAAGCAGGGGACCUUCGGGCCUUGCGCUAUCAGAUGAGCCUAGGUCGGAUUAGCUAGUUGGUGGGGUAAUGGCUCACCAAGGCGACGAUCCGUAACUGGUCUGAGAGGAUGAUCAGUCACACUGGAACUGAGACACGGUCCAGACUCCUACGGGAGGCAGCAGUGGGGAAUAUUGGACAAUGGGCGAAAGCCUGAUCCAGCCAUGCCGCGUGUGUGAAGAAGGUCUUCGGAUUGUAAAGCACUUUAAGUUGGGAGGAAGGGUUGUAGAUUAAUACUCUGCAAUUUUGACGUUACCGACAGAAUAAGCACCGGCUAACUCUGUGCCAGCAGCCGCGGUAAUACAGAGGGUGCAAGCGUUAAUCGGAAUUACUGGGCGUAAAGCGCGCGUAGGUGGUUAGUUAAGUUGGAUGUGAAAUCCCCGGGCUCAACCUGGGAACUGCAUUCAAAACUGACUGACUAGAGUAUGGUAGAGGGUGGUGGAAUUUCCUGUGUAGCGGUGAAAUGCGUAGAUAUAGGAAGGAACACCAGUGGCGAAGGCGACCACCUGGACUGAUACUGACACUGAGGUGCGAAAGCGUGU